rnacentral:rRNA from 1 species
AUUGAACGCUGGCGGCAGGCCUAACACAUGCAAGUCGAGCGGAUGAAGGGAGCUUGCUCCUGGAUUCAGCGGCGGACGGGUGAGUAAUGCCUAGGAAUCUGCCUGGUAGUGGGGGAUAACGUCCGGAAACGGGCGCUAAUACCGCAUACGUCCUGAGGGAGAAAGUGGGGGAUCUUCGGACCUCACGCUAUCAGAUGAGCCUAGGUCGGAUUAGCUAGUUGGUGGGGUAAAGGCCUACCAAGGCGACGAUCCGUAACUGGUCUGAGAGGAUGAUCAGUCACACUGGAACUGAGACACGGUCCAGACUCCUACGGGAGGCAGCAGUGGGGAAUAUUGGACAAUGGGCGAAAGCCUGAUCCAGCCAUGCCGCGUGUGUGAAGAAGGUCUUCGGAUUGUAAAGCACUUUUAGUUGGGAAGAAGAGCAGUAAGUUAAUACCUUGCUGUUUUGACGUUACCAACAGAAUAAGCACCGGCUAACUUCGUG